UUCAAAGGGUAUCGGAGAAGCCCUGACAUGCAGAUAUCGGAGACGCUCUUAAGGAACCAAGCAUUAAUCUAUCAAAUUGAUUUGAAGUGCUGUCACAUUUACACCUUUUCUAAGAAGUUCUCGUCCUUGUUUGAUGGGCCUUCUUCUGAGCUGGAUGGGAAAGUUGUUCCCUUUAUGGAUGGGGCUAAUCGAGAAAAUUCAAGAAAAGUUGAGGGUGUUAGACAAGUAGUGGAUGAUGUGUGCCAUAUCUUGGAUAGUGGUCCAUGGGGACCCACCCUGGAGAAUGCUCUAUCUGUGUUAGAUGAAAAACCUCAACCAGAGCUAGUUAUUGGAGUCUUGAGAAGGCUAAAGAAUGUUAAUCUAGCAGUAAAUUAUUUUCGGUGGGCCGAGAGAAAAACUGACCAGGCACAUUGUCCUGAUGCAUACAAUUCGCUUCUCAUGGUUAUGGCUAGGACUAGAAAGUUUGAUUGCUUGGAAGAGAUUCUGGAAGAAAUGAGUAUUGCAGGAUUUGGUCCAUCUAAUUUUACAUAUGUCGAGCUAGUGGUAAGCUGCAUCAAGUCACAAAAUCUUAGAGAAGCUUUUGAUCUAAUACAAACCAUGAGGAAGUUUAAAUUCCGCCCUGCAUUUUCGGCUUACACAAAUCUGAUUGGUGCUCUGGCUGCAGUUCAUGAAUCUGACCUCAUGCUCACUCUUUUUCACCAAAUGCAGGAGCUAGGUUAUGAAGUAAGUGUGCAUUUAUUUACAACUCUUAUUCGUGUAUUCGCCAGGGGGGGCCGGGUUGAUGCUGCUCUCUCUCUGUUGGAUGAGAUGAAGAGCAACGCUUUUGAUGCUGACAUUGUUCUUUAUAAUGUCUGCAUAGAUUGUUUUGGUAAGGUUGGGAAGGUGGAUAUGGCCUGGAAAUUCUUCCAUGAGAUGAAAGCACAUGGCUUAAUGCCCGACGAUGUGACAUAUACUACCCUGAUAGGGGUUCUCUGCAAAGCUGAUAGGCUGGAGGAAGCUGUGGAGCUAUUUGAACAGAUGGAUAGCGGCAGGAAAGUCCCUUGUGCAUAUGCUUAUAACACCAUGAUCAUGGGUUAUGGUUCAGUUGGAAAGUUUGAUGAAGCGUAUAGUUUACUUGAGAGGCAAAAACAAAAGGGAUGCAUUCCGAGUGUGAUUGCAUAUAAUUGCAUUCUUACUUGCCUUGGGAAGAAGGGGAGAGUAGAGGAGGCAUUACAGAUCUUCGAGGAGAUGAAGAAAGAUGCGUCGCCCAACCUUUCAACCUAUAAUAUUCUAAUAGAAAUGCUUUGCAAGGCAGGAAAUCUUGAAGCUGCUCUGGGCAUUCAGGAUGCCAUGGAAGGAGCUGGCUUGUUUCCUAAUGUUGUGACUGUCAAUAUAAUGAUAGAUCGACUUUGCAAAGCUCAAAAACUGGAUGAAGCUUGUUCUAUAUUUGAAGGAAUGGAUCAUAAAGUUUGCACCCCGGAUGCUGUGACAUUUUGUUCUCUUAUUGAUGGCUUGGGCAGACGUGGCAGAGUGGAUGAUGCCUACAGGCUAUACGAAAAGAUGUUAGAUUCUAAUCAGAUUCCAAAUGCUAUUGUAUAUACAUCACUUAUUAGGAACUUCUUCAAGUGUGGCAGGAAGGAGGAUGGUCACAAGAUAUACAAAGAAAUGGUACAUGGGGGCUGUUCUCCUGACCUGAUGCUGCUUAAUACCUACAUGGAUUGUGUUUUCAAAGCUGGAGAAAUCGAGAAAGGCAGGGCUUUGUUUGAGGAGAUAAAGGCUCGAGGACUUGUUCCGGAUGUUUGGAGCUAUUCAAUCCUAAUUCGUGGCCUUGUGAAAGCAGGUUUUGCAAAGGAAACCUACGAGUUGUUCUAUGCAAUGAAGGAGCAAGGCUGUGUUUUGGACACCCGUGCUUACAACAUUGUAAUUGAUGGAUUCUGCAAGUCUGGUAAGGUUAACAAAGCAUAUCAACUGUUGGAGGAAAUGACGACGAAGGGACACCAACCAACUGUGGUUACAUAUGGCUCCGUCAUUGAUGGGCUUGCGAAGAUUGACAGGCUUGAUGAAGCAUACAUGCUCUUUGAAGAAGCAAAGUCUAAAGGAAUAGAGUUAAAUGUGGUGAUAUAUAGUAGUCUUAUUGAUGGGUUCGGAAAGGUGGGUAGAAUUGAUGAAGCAUAUCUAAUCUUGGAAGAGUUGAUGCAGAAAGGUUUGACUCCCAAUGUAUACACCUGGAAUUGCUUGCUUGAUGCACUAGUGAAAGCGGAGGAGAUUGAUGAAGCCCUUGUCUGCUUUCAGUCAUUGAAAGACUUGAAAUGUACUCCCAACCACAUAACUUACAGCAUUCUCAUAAACGGACUUUGUAGGGUUAGAAAAUUUAAUAAGGCCUUUGUGUUCUGGCAAGAGUUGCAGAAGCAUGGUUUGAAGCCCAACACAAUCACCUAUACCACCAUGAUCUCAGGACUUGCAAAGGCUGGAAAUAUAGCAGACGCUAAUAGGCUUUUUGAGAGGUUUAAGGCAAGUGGGGGUAUACCAGAUUCUGCUAGUUAUAAUGCUAUGAUAGAAGGACUAAGCAAUUGUAAUAGAGCAAUCGAUGCAUAUGCACUUUUUGAGGAGACUCGAUCCAAAGGUUGUAAAAUUCAUACCAAAACGUGUGUUGUUCUUCUAGAUGCAUUGCAUAAGGCUGAAUGCCUUGAGCAAGCAGCAGUUGUGGGUGCGGUGUUGAGGGAAACGGCAAAGUCUCAACAUGCUGCAAGAUCCUGGUAAUGUCUGGGGUGGGGGGUUAGAUUUUGCAAGUUACUGGAAGAUUCAGAGUCUGUGGUUUACUCAGUAAGUGGUGAUGCCAUAAGGUUUCUUUCUCAUCUUGCCAAUGGAGCAAUUUGUGGAAGAGAGAGAGUUCUGUUCAUGAAGAUUCUUCAUUGCAUAAAUUCCUUCAUAGGGCUGAAGAUGCUCCUGUCAGAGGUAAUCUCUUCUCUGAUUAGUAGCUAGUGAAGUUAGACGCACAAAUGAAUCUCUGCUUGCAAUAAGCCUUACACAGGCAACAUCAUGGCAUCCUUCCCAUAAGUCCUAAUUCAUUUUUGAUUCAGAGGCAAUGCCUUAAUUGGGUAAAGUUUUCACAAGUUCAAAACAUAGGAUGCUAAGAUGAAACAGGAAGCAGCAUGCAUAAGUCAAGUUCCUAACUUCUAUCAUGGCUUGAUUUUUGGUUGUUCAAUUCUCCAUCAACCCAGAUCCCCCCAAAACCACUCAAACCCUGUAUAGGUGUAUAAAACAAAUAUCAUUUGUUAGAAAGGGAAGUACCUUCAGUGAGGAGUGGAGGGGGAUAGUGCAGAAACAUACACUAAUAAGCCUUAGUAGCAAAAGUUGAGUUGCCUGAUUGUUGAGUCUUACACCCAUGAUUCUACUCACUGACGCAAGUGCACAUUUUAAUGGUUUCUCCAGGCCUGCUUCGAAUUUUUGUAUCAAUAUUUUACGAGGGAACAUAUGAUUGAAUCAUGCAUGGUCUGAAACCUUUGUCAGCAUUUCUUAGAUUUCCCUAGUAACCUUUUGAUUGAUGAUUUAUGGCUUCAGGCAUGAGAAUUGCAUGUCAAACAUGGUGAAUAUGCCAAGAAUGACAUCAGGACCUUCAGUUCAUUUAUACUGCUUCAAAAUUUAUGUGGACCCAUGGGCAUGGGCUUGUUGUGAGAUUGGAUAAUGCUUCACUUUUCAGUGCUCUGGUUAUUAAGCAGGAUGCAAUUCAUGUAUGGAUUGCAUAGAAGCACAUCUUUGAAUAUCCUUGGAUAACAUGGAGCCUCGUUUGAGGGAUGCUUACACAUAUAGUCUAUUCAUUGAAUCCCCCUAAUUGUCUUGAGGUGGGUUCUGAAUGCUGAAGGAGAGCGUAAAAAAAUGAGACUGGGACUGCUAUUUUUCAGCCAUAGUAUUUGAAACCAUGUCAAGUGCAAUCAUGUUAUUUUUCUUUCACAUGGACAAGGGUUAGUAACUGGGGUGAUACGAUGUUAAGCAUCUUCCCCCCCCCCCCCCCCCCCCCUUUUUAUGGGGUACUUUUUUCUGUGCUCUAGUGAGGUUUUGUAAUUGGAUGCUGUAAAGAUACCAUUGGGAAACGAGUUCAUGACAGAAAUAUGCUUUAUCUUUUCAUCGUUCUUAUUCAUGGAUUUGAAUUUGGAAAGUAGUAAAAGGUCGAUUUUCCAUUAUGUGGGACUAUGUAAGGAACAUUUGAAAUCCCCCCCUUUUUCCUAUGCCGAAGGGAAAGGUUCAAAAUAAGUGAGAAUAUAAUGCUCUGUUUUAUAGUAUUCUACUGAAAUCAACAAUGUGCUACAUCCUAGCCAAAUUUGAAAAAACAAAAAUGAAAGUAUGGCAUAUUGGCAUAGA